AGCGCAGGUGGUUUAUUAAGUCUGGUGUAAAAGGCAGUGGCUCAACCAUUGUAUGCAUUGGAAACUGGUAGACUUGAGUGCAGGAGAGGAGAGCGGAAUUCCAUGUGUAGCGGUGAAAUGCGUAGAUAUAUGGAGGAACACCGGUGGCGAAAGCGGCUCUCUGGCCUGUAACUGACACUGAGGCUGAAAGCGUGGGGAGCAAACA
rnacentral:rRNA from 1 species